rnacentral:rRNA from 1 species
AGAGCGAACGCUGGCGGCAGGCCUAACACAUGCAAGUCGAACGAUCCUUCGGGAUAGUGGCGGACGGGUGAGUAACACGUGGGAACGUGCCUUUUGGUUCGGAACAACUCAGGGAAACUUGGGCUAAUACCGAAUGUGCCCUUCGGGGGAAAGAUUUAUCGCCAUUAGAGCGGCCCGCGUCUGAUUAGCUAGUUGGUGAGGUAAAGGCUCACCAAGGCUACGAUCAGUAGCUGGUCUGAGAGGAUGAUCAGCCACAUUGGGACUGAGACACGGCCCAAACUCCUACGGGAGGCAGCAGUGGGGAAUCUUGCGCAAUGGGACGAAAGCCUGACGCAGCCAUGCCGCGUGAAUGAUGAAGGUCUUAGGAUUAGUAAAUUCUUCGCCGGGACGAUAAUGACGGUACCGGAGAACGAGCCCCGCUAACUCGCGCCAGCAGCGAC